UACGUAGGUGGCAAGCGUUGUCCGGAAUUAUUGGGCGUAAAGCGCGCGCAGGCGGUCCCUUAAGUCUGAUGUGAAAGCCCACGGCUCAACCGUGGAGGGUCAUUGGGAAACUGGGGGACUUGAGUACAGAAGAGGAAAGCGGAAUUCCACGUGUAGCGGUGAAAUGCGUAGAGAUGUGGAGGAACACCAGUGGCGAAGGCGGCUUUCUGGUCUGUAACUGACGCUGAGGCGCGAAAGCGUGGGGAGCAAACAGG
rnacentral:rRNA from 1 species